GAUUAACGCUGGCUGCACGUAUAAUACAUGCAAGUCGAACGAGACUUCGGUCUAGUGGCAAACGGGUGAGUAACACGUUGAUAUCUACCCCAUACUCAGGGAUAACUUCGAGAAAUCGGAGCUAAUACCGGAUGGUCCCGCAAGGGUAAAGCUUUCGCGGUAUGGGAAGAGUCUGCGCACUAUCAGCUUGUUGGUAAGGUAAUGGCUUACCAAGGCUAUGACGGUUAGCUGGUCUGAGAGGAUGACCAGCCACAAUGGAACUGCGACACGGUCCAU
rnacentral:rRNA from 1 species